AGGGAAAAUAGCAAUCAAAGCAAAUAAAGCAUUGCAGGUGUUAUAUAAAAAGAAUAAAACUUGUCUGCUGGAAGUAAAAGGGGACUAAGAGUAUGGAGAUAUGCUAAGAUCCGCACGCAGGCGUUUUCGUGUAGGCUAUAGAAGACUCAAAGGUUCCUUUGAUGCAUUCGGGUGUAUGGGGGAAUGGGCAGCCUAUUGAAGCAUGGCAGACCACCUGAGAGUUGUUUUCUGGACUCUGGGAGGUCACCUGACACCAGUUCUCUGGAGAAGGUGCCCCGCACUGGAUUUCACAUGAAAAGAUCUUACAGCUUUGGAAUGACAUGAGAGUGCAAACCAUUUUAGCCAUCUUAUGAGUGAGGAGACGAAUCAUUUCUGUUCUGAAUGGAUGAUUCGGAGCCAGGGGUGAAUCAUACAGGGGUUUGUUUGUAUCUGUGCCUCUGAUCCCCCUCUGAUAGUCCCUACACCACGCAACAUCUGUCACGCCGCGUGCCACAAUCGCUCAUGUAGAGCUUUAGGUGAUGCUGGUGUAUGGUUAUUCCUGCCACAUGGUCCACAUGGGCAUCCCCAACGCCAGCACUCAUUAGCAGGCAGGUGGCGUUAGAGAUUCGACUGGGGCCGAGACGAGGAAUAGAACCUGGCAAACCGGGUUGUACGUCCGCACCGGGUAAUCCCCGCCAGAUUGCCAGGAUAUCAGGAGUGACAUCACAAAGCCAACAAAAAUUAGCAUCCCUAAUGGUCUGCCAGGCCAAACAUUAUUCUUCAUGAUGAGAAGCAGUCAUGCCUGCCCAGGGCUCCUGAUGAUUUGGCCAAAAGCAGUGGAGGCCCCUAAGCUCUCAGCUCUGGCCAAAACCAACAGGCCCAUGAAGACCAGCUCUACUCUACUGCAAAGGAAGUUCCUGAGGAAAAUGCUUGGUAUAUUCCCAUCAUAUUGCUGAUGCCUUCAGAUUCUAGAAGAUCCUUUGAAAUUACUUACCUGAAUGGAAAAGAAGAGACUCUUACUUGGUGCUUGAUAACCAGUGAAAAACACCUUAACUAGAUUUAGAAGCUAAAACCAAAAAAGAUCAAUGAGAGGAGAGGGGGAGAGUGGCAGAUUUAAUUAAUUACUGCAUAUUAGAAUGUUUGUUUACAAAAGUGAACAGUUACAAGGGGCCUGAUGGUAAUUAAUUUAAAACGUACUUCCCCCUGUCCCUGCCUCGCGUCGGCACUAGACGUGGUUGUUUCAUGGCAGGUAAGCCUACGUCUCAUUGGAUUUCGAUCAAUUGCUCAAAGGUGUGUUUCAAAACAAAGAUGCAUGGUGCACAGAUUAGCCUUAAUGUUAACAUGAUUGCAUGUUAAGAAAUUGAAUUAGUACUCAAGGGAAUCAAAAGGGAAGAGCUGUGUGAUAUUGUAAAAAUGCAUAUCUAAGAGGAAAUUUUCACCAUUUUCCACCUAAACCGUAUUAGAUUUUUCUUCCUCUAGUGUAUUUAAAUGUAACUUGACAUCUUAAACAGAUCUGUAAAUAGUCCCUGUGAAGAUGACUUUAUUUUCCCAACAAUGUCACAGUGGUUGCAUUUCUGUGUGUUUUCAGCUGUGGUCAGGAAGGUCUCUCGAGGUCCCCCUCCAGGACAAUGAUGUAUUUAAGUCCCCUAAGAGGUCAGAUGGACUCUGUCCAGAACAUCACCUGCAAUCAAUAGUGUUGGUAAACCAGGCUCAACUGAGUGGCCAUGAAGACUCCCCUUAUAAACACGCUCACAGAGAGGCCGGCAUGGCCCAUUGCUUUGCUAAAACCGCAACCAACAUCCUGACACACACAUACACACACACGCAACACAUGCCACCACUCU